rnacentral:tRNA from 1 species
GCGGACAAUGGGCGUCACGCUGUUAAAGGGAUUAUCGUAAUGUCCUAUAUUCUCAGGGAACUGUUCUUAUCUUUUCCUCUACCCAUCUUUUGUGUCAUUUAGGAAAGCUCGGAGUUCGAACAGCACUUCUGGGCUGGGCUGCUAGACAAAGAAAAUGGAGAUGCCGGGGAUUGAACCCGGGGCCUCAUACAUGCAAAGCAUGCGCUCUACCACUGAGCUACAUCCCCUUCUUGUUCCAUGAUUAUCAACUCAGGCAAACUCCUGCUGCUGCCAGUCCAGUCCAGCCCGGUCCUCCUCCUUUUUCCACUCCUCACUCCACAUGUCUCUGUCCACUCUGUUGCCAUUCUGUCUUCCCACUGUGAAGGCAGGACAAGCAGCUGAUCCUCCACUCCAGAGACCACCAGCCUGACAGCACAUACAGGCAAAGCAUGACUUCAAAGCUCACUGCUUGUGGGUCAUUCUUUUGGUGUGUUUUGGGACAACUAAAGUCUGUUCUUUUUGGAAAUAAAAAUCUUAAAAUAUUUCAUUCCAAGUCAAGAGGUUUUGCAAUGUGAUGGAAUGUAGACCUCAUUUCUUCUGCUACAUAAUAAAAGCUUGUUGAUGACUAAAAUAUGUGGAGCUGCAAAAUUAGAAACUCACAUCAAAGCAGUUUAGCAGCAGUGAUGACAGGAAAUUGAAAUGUCCCCUUAAUAUUAAGCUAUAGUGAAGCCUUCAUCUUACCAGUGUGCUCUGUUAGCUUGAGCUCAAAGGAGUGAAUGGUGCAACAGUAUUUAUUUAGGUCAGGGGUGUCAAACAUAAGGCCCAUGGACCAGAAUCGGACAGACAAAGACUCCAACCUGGCCCACUGGACAGCUCUAGAAAAUGUGCAGGAGUGUAUAGAUUUUGAACUUUUACCUGUAUUUCCAUAGGUUUUACAGCUUUAUUGAUAAUUUGCCAUUCAUACUACACCAACGCAAUCAAGUAAUAGAUAAACAAUUAAAUGACAGAAUGUUCCUGUUUAUUCAAAAUCUGCUUUAUAAAUUUAGGGGUUUUUUUUACACUUGAUUCACAGACAUUUUCUUUGAAUUAAUGAAAACAUUAUAUUUUAUCAUUCCGACAAUGAACCAACAGAAACAUUUUCUGUAAUUUUACACAUUUAUUAUGUAUUUUCACUGGACCGGCCAACAUAAGAUCAAAGCAGUCUGUUUGUGGCCCACCAUGUCAAAUGAGUUUGACAUCCCUGAUUUAAGUUGUCACCUAUGUCAGCCUGCACAGUGUCAUUUACCAAAGUCGCUGAAGUGAACUCAUUUGUGUGCAAACAUGGUUGAAUGAACAUUUCAUUAAAAUCUCCACAACCCAGCAGUGAGUCAGCUACAUGACAUUCAUGGGUCUUUUUUGCUUUGGGGUUUCUGUGUGCUCUCUCACACACAAAUGUAGCAGUUCCUUUCAUUUGCAUGUGUGUGUGUGUGAUCCUAAUUGUCUCCCCGUUCUGCCCGGCAUGUUUGCUUUGCUGACAUAGGGCACCGCGGCUGUUUAUCUGCACCUUUACUCCACACACGGGCUGUUAGGAAUGUGUGUGGGAGAGGACAGCACUGAGCUAACAGGCUCUUCUUCCAACGUCAUCUCUGUUUACCUGCUAUUGUUCACAGCUCCUGUGUAGCGAUGAAGAGAAAGAAGUGAUUUAUGUGUGUAGUGACAACAACAAGUGUUUGGACUGCAGUGGCGCCAGUGCAUUUCUUUAUCCCGUGGAACUGGCUGAAGCCCGGAGCCGUUAACACCACAGCAACUUUAAUUUGUGGAGACAUAUUGUGUGAUUAUUCGCUGACUUGGAAAAAAAAUGGUGAUUUUUAAAUUAUUUGUUAAUAACAGUUUCUAGCAAGCCGACACAAGCAGAGACAGACGUGUUUUUUUCCCUAAGUUGCCCAUUAGGCGCCUGCUUCUCCUCGUUUUAUCCCCCUUCUCCUCUUCUAUGCUGCAUCUGAUAUUGUUGAUGUUGUUUU